AACGAACGCUGGCGGCAGGCUUAACACAUGCAAGUCGAACGCCCCGCAAGGGGAGUGGCAGACGGGUGAGUAACGCGUGGGAACGUGCCCUAAGGUUCGGAACAACUCCGGGAAACUGGAGCUAAUACCGAAUGUGUCCGAGAGGAGAAAGAUUUAUCGCCUUAGGAUCGGCCCGCGUUGGAUUAGCUAGUUGGUGGGGUAAAAGCCUACCAAGGCGACGAUCCAUAGCUGUUCUGAGAGGAAGAUCAGCCACACUGGGACUGAGACACG
rnacentral:rRNA from 1 species